ensembl:snRNA U6 U6 spliceosomal RNA
ACUCUCUUUGGCAGCAUAUGUACCACACUUGGAACCACAGAGAAGACAGGCAUGGCCCUUGCACAAGUGGGCCACACACAUUCCUGAAGCCUUCCAUAUUUGU